rnacentral:rRNA from 1 species
AACGAACGCUGGCGGCAUGCCUAACACAUGCAAGUCGAACGAGACCUUCGGGUCUAGUGGCGCACGGGUGCGUAACGCGUGGGAACCUGCCCUUAGGUUCGGAAUAACUCCCCGAAAGGGGUGCUAAUACCGGCUAAUGUCUUCGGACCAAAGAUUUAUCGCCUUUGGAUGGGCCCGCGUUGGAUUAGCUAGUUGGUAGGGUAAAAGCCUACCAAGGCGACGAUCCAUAGCUGGUCUGAGAGGAUGAUCAGCCACACUGGGACUGAGACACGGCCCAGACUCCUACGGGAGGCAGCAGUGGGGAAUAUUGGACGAUGGGCGAAAGCCUGAUCCAGCAAUGCCGCGUGAGUGAUGAAGGCCUUAGGGUUGUAAAGCUCUUUUACCCGGGAUGAUAAUGACAGUACCGGGAGAAUAAGCUCCGGCUAACUCCGUG